ensembl:snRNA U2 U2 spliceosomal RNA
GUUGCUUCUUGGCCUGUUGGCUAAAAUCAAAAGGUAGUAUCUGUUUUUAUCAGUUUAAUAUCUGAUACGUCCCCGUUCUGGGCAUCGUGCAUUAAACCAAUUUUUGGAACGAAGAGAUGGAUGUGGAGCUUUCUCUGGCCGCUCCACUCAUCGGCCUAGUAUCUCAGUACCUCCGGGAACAGUGCCCCCCCC